AUACGUAGGGUGCGAGCGUUGUCCGGAAUUACUGGGCGUAAAGAGCUCGUAGGUGGUUUGUCGCGUCGUCUGUGAAAUUCCGGGGCUUGACUCCGGGCGUGCAGGCGAUACGGGCAUAACUUGAGUACUGUAGGGGAGACUGGAAUUCCUGGCGUAGCGGUGAAAUGCGCAGAUAUCAGGAGGAACACCGGUGGCGAAGGCGGGUCUCUGGGCAGUAACUGACGCUGAGGAGCGAAAGCAUGGGUAGCGAACAGGAUUAGAUACCCUGGUAGUCCAUGCCGUAAACGGUGGGCGCUAGGUGUAGGGGUCUUCCACGACUUCUGUGCCGUAGCUAACGCAUUAAGCGCCCCGCCUGGGGAGUACGGCCGCAAGGCUAAAACUCAAAGGAAUUGACGGGG
rnacentral:rRNA from 1 species